rnacentral:rRNA from 1 species
CCUACGGGUGGCAGCAGUGGGGAAUAUUGGACAAUGGGGGCAACCCUGAUCCAGCCAUGCCGCGUGUGUGAAGAAGGCCCUCGGGUUGUAAAGCACUUUCAGUGAGGAAGAACGCCUGGUGGUUAAUACCCAUCAGGAAAGACAUCACUCACAGAAGAAGCACCGGCUAACUCCGUGCCAGCAGCCGCGGUAAUACGGAGGGUGCGAGCGUUAAUCGGAAUUACUGGGCGUAAAGCGCGCGUAGGUGGCUUGAUAAGCCGGUUGUGAAAGCCCCGGGCUCAACCUGGGAACGGCAUCCGGAACUGUCAAGCUAGAGUGCAGGAGAGGAAGGCAGAAUUCCCGGUGUAGCGGUGAAAUGCGUAGAGAUCGGGAGGAAUACCAGUGGCGAAGGCGGCCUUCUGGACUGACACUGACACUGAGGUGCGAAAGCGUGGGUAGCAAACAGGAUUAGAUACCCUUGUAGUC